UGCGCAGGCGGUUUUGUAAGUCUGACGUGAAAUCCCCGGGCUUAACCUGGGAAUGGCGUUGGAGACUGCAAGGCUAGAAUCUGGCAGAGGGGGGUAGAAUUCCACGUGUAGCAGUGAAAUGCGUAGAUAUGUGGAGGAAUACCGAUGGCGAAGGCAGCCCCCUGGGCCAAGAUUGACGCUCAUGCACGAAAGCGUGGGGAGCAAACAGGAUUAGAUACCCUGGUAGUCCACGCCCUAAACGAUGUCUACUAGUUGUCGGGUCUUAAUUGACUUGGUAACGCAGCUAACGCGUGAAGUAGACCGCCUGGGGAGUACGGUCGCAAGAUUAAA
rnacentral:rRNA from 1 species